GAUGAAAUGCCUGAAGAAAGGAUUAUUUUGAUAGAAUAAAUUAUGUAGAAUUUCUACUUUCAUUG
rnacentral:tRNA from 1 species